UACGUAGGGGGCAAGCGUUAUCCGGAAUUACUGGGUGUAAAGGGAGCGUAGACGGUGAUGUAAGUCUGGAGUGAAAGGCGGGGGUCCAACCCCCGGACUGCUCUGGAAACUAUAUGACUGGAGUGCAGGAGAGGUGAGCGGAAUUCCUAGUGUAGCGGUGAAAUGCGUAGAUAUUAGGAGGAACACCAGUGGCGAAGGCGGCUCACUGGACUGUAACUGACGUUGAGGCUCGAAAGCGUGGGGAGCAAACAGG
rnacentral:rRNA from 1 species